AACGAGCGCUGGCGGCAGGCUUAACACAUGCAAGUCGAGCGCCCCGCAAGGGGAGCGGCAGACGGGUGAGUAACGCGUGGGAAUCUACCCAUCUCUACGGAAUAACGCAUGGAAACGUGUGCUAAUACCGUAUACGUCCUUUGGGAGAAAGAUUUAUCGGAGAUGGAUGAGCCCGCGUUGGAUUAGCUAGUUGGGGGGGUAAAGGCCUACCAAGGCGACGAUCCAUAGCUGGUCUGAGAGGAUGAUCAGCCACACUGGGACUGAGACACGGCCCAGACUCCUACGGGAGGCAGCAGUGGGGAAUAUUGGACAAUGGGCGCAAGCCUGAUCCAGCCAUGCCGCGUGAGUGAUGAAGGCCCUAGGGUUGUAAAGCUCUUUCACCGGUGAAGAUAAUGACGGUAACCGGAGAAGAAGCCCCGGCUAACUUCGUGCCAGCAGCCGCCGUAAUAC
rnacentral:rRNA from 1 species